CCAAAUUGCGGCAGCUUACAAUGCGAGUCGAGCGGAAACGAUGAUAGCUUGCUAUCAGGCGUCGAGCGGCGGACGGGUGAGUAAUACUUAGGAAUCUACCUAGUAGUGGGGGAUAGCACGGGGAAACUCGUAUUAAUACCGCAUACGACCUACGGGAGAAAGGGGGCAGUUUACUGCUCUCGCUAUUAGAUGAGCCUAAGUCGGAUUAGCUAGAUGGUGGGGUAAAGGCCUACCAUGGCGACGAUCUGUAGCUGGUCUGAGAGGAUGAUCAGCCACACCGGGACUGAGACACGGCCCGGACUCCUACGGGAGGCAGCAGUGGGGAAUAUUGGACAAUGGGGGAAACCCUGAUCCAGCCAUGCCGCGUGUGUGAAGAAGGCCUUUUGGUUGUAAAGCACUUUAAGCAGUGAAGAAGACUCCGUGGUUAAUACCCACGGACGAUGACAUUAGCUGCAGAAUAAGCACCGGCUAACUCUGUGCCAGCAGCCGCGGUAAUACAGAGGGUGCAAGCGUUAAUCGGAAUUACUGGGCGUAAAGGGAGCGUAGGUGGCUCGAUAAGUCAGAUGUGAAAUCCCCGGGCUCAACCUGGGAACUGCAUCUGAUACUGUUGAGCUAGAGUAUGUGAGAGGAAGGUAGAAUUCCAGGUGUAGCGGUGAAAUGCGUAGAGAUCUGGAGGAAUACCGAUGGCGAAGGCAGCCUUCUGGCAUAAUACUGACACUGAGGCUCGAAAGCGUGGGUAGCAAACAGGAUUAGAUACCCUGGUAGUCCACGCCGUAAACGAUGUCUACUAGUCGUUGGGUCCCUUGAGGACUUAGUGACGCAGCUAACGCAAUAAGUAGACCGCCUGGGGAGUACGGCCGCAAGGUUAAAACUCAAAUGAAUUGACGGGGGCCCGCACAAGCGGUGGAGCAUGUGGUUUAAUUCGAUGCAACGCGAAGAACCUUACCUGGUCUUGACAUAUCUAGAAUCCUGCAGAGAUGCGGGAGUGCCUUCGGGAAUUAGAAUACAGGUGCUGCAUGGCUGUCGUCAGCUCGUGUCGUGAGAUGUUGGGUUAAGUCCCGCAACGAGCGCAACCCUUGUCCUUAGUUACCAGCGGGUUAAGCCGGGAACUCUAAGGAUACUGCCAGUGACAAACUGGAGGAAGGCGGGGACGACGUCAAGUCAUCAUGGCCCUUACGACCAGGGCUACACACGUGCUACAAUGGUAGGUACAGAGGGCAGCUACACAGCGAUGUGAUGCGAAUCUCAAAAAGCCUAUCGUAGUCCAGAUUGGAGUCUGCAACUCGACUCCAUGAAGUAGGAAUCGCUAGUAAUCGCGGAUCAGAAUGCCGCGGUGAAUACGUUCCCGGGCCUUGUACACACCGCCCGUCACACCAUGGGAGUUGAUUGCACCAGAAGUGGAUAGCUUAACCUUCGGGGGAGCGUCACCACGGGUUGUUGGGGGUU
rnacentral:rRNA from 1 species